rnacentral:rRNA from 1 species
CCACAUUGGACUGAGAUACGGCCCAGACUCCUACGGGAGCAGCAGUGGUGGAAUAUUGCACAAAUGGCGGAAGCCUGAUGCAGCGACGCCGCGUGGGGGAUGAAGGCCUUCGGGUUGUAAACUCCUUUCGACAGGGACGAAGCGUAAGUGACGGUACCUGUAUAAGAAGCACCGGCUAACUACGUGCCAGCAGCCCGGUAAUACGUAGGGUGCGAGCGUUGUCCAGGAAUUACUGGGCGUAAAGAGCUCGUAGGUGGUUUGUCGCGUCGUCUGUGAAAUUCCGGGGCUUAACUCCGGGCGUGCAGGCGAUACGGGCUGACUUGAGUGCUGUAGGGGAGACUGGAAUUCCUGGUGUACGGUGAAAUGCGCAGAUAUCAGGAGGAACACCGAUGGCGAAGGCAGGUCUCUGGGCAGUAACUGACGCUGAGGAGCGAAAGCAUGGGUAGCGAACAGGAUUAGAUACCCUGGUAGUCCAUGCCGUAAACGGUUGGGCGCUAGGUGUAGGGGGCUUCCACGUCUUCUGUGCCGUAGCUACGCACUUAAGCG